rnacentral:tRNA from 1 species
GCCCCGGUAGCUCAGCUGGAUAGAGCAGCGGACUUCUAAUCCGCAGGUCGCACGUUCGAGUCGUGCUCCGGGGCG